GUGAGGAAUAUUGGACAAUGGGCGCAAGCCUGAUCCAGCCAUGCCGCGUGCAGGAAGACGCAUCUAUGGUGUGUAAACUGCUUUUGUACGGGAAGAAACACUCCCUCGUGAGGGAGCUUGACGGUACCGUAAGAAUAAGGAUCGGCUAACUCCGUGCCAGCAGCCGCGGUAAUACGGAGGAUCCAAUCGUUAUCCGGAAUCAUUGGGUUUAAAGGGUCCGUAUGCGGUUUAAUAAGUCAGUGGUGAAAGCCCAUCGCUCAACGAUGGAACGGCCAUUGAUACUGUUAGACUUGAAUUACAAGGAAGUAACUAGAAUAUGUAGUGUAGCGGUGAAAUGCUUAGAUAUUACAUGGAAUACCAAUUGCGAAGGCAGGUUACUACUUGUGGAUUGACGCUGAUGGACGAAAGCGUGGGGAGCGAACAGGAUUAGAAACCCGUGUAGUCC
rnacentral:rRNA from 1 species